GACGAACGCUGGCGGCGUGCUUAACACAUGCCAGUCGAACGGAAAGGCCCUGCUUGCAGGGUACUCGAGUGGCGAACGGGUGAGUAACACGUGGGUGAUCUGCCCUGCACUUCGGGAUAAGCCUGGGAAACUGGGUCUAAUACCGGAUAGGAGCCAUUUUUAGUGUGAUGGUUGGAAAGUUUUUUCGGUGUAGGAUGAGCUCGCGGCCUAUCAGCUUGUUGGUGGGGUAAUGGCCUACCAAGGCGGCGACGGGUAGCCGGCCUGAGAGGGUGGACGGCCACAUUGGGACUGAGAUACGGCCCAGACUCCUACGGGAGGCAGCAGUGGGGAAGAGUGCACAAUGGGCGCAAGCCUGAUGCAGCGACGCCGCGUGGGGGAUGACGGCCUUCGGGUUGUAAACUCCGUUCGCUAGGGACGAAGCUUUUUGUGACGGUACCUAGAUAAGAAGCACCGGCUAACUACGUG
rnacentral:rRNA from 1 species